UACGUAGGUGGCAAGCGUUGUCCGGAUUUAUUGGGCGUAAAGCGAGCGCAGGCGGUUCCUUAAGUCUGAUGUGAAAGCCCACGGCUCAACCGUGGAAGGUCAUUGGAAACUGGGGAACUUGAGUGCAGAAGAGGAGAGUGGAAUUCCAUGUGUAGCGGUGAAAUGCGUAGAUAUGUGGAGGAACACCAGUGGCGAAGGCGACUCUCUGGUCUGUAACUGACGCUGAGGCUCGAAAGCGUGGGGAGCAAACAGGAUUAGAUA
rnacentral:rRNA from 1 species